rnacentral:rRNA from 1 species
GAUGAACGCUGGCGGCGUGCCUAAUACAUGCAAGUCGAGCGGACCAAAGAGAGCUUGCUCUCUGAGGUUAGCGGCGGACGGGUGAGUAACACGUGGGUAACCUGCCUAUAAGACUGGGAUAACUUCGGGAAACCGGAGCUAAUACCGGAUAAUAUUUAGCUUCGCAUGAAGCAAUAGUGAAAGACGGUUUUGCUGUCACCUAUAGAUGGACCCGCGGUGUAUUAGCUAGUUGGUGAGGUAACGGCUCACCAAGGCAACGAUACAUAGCCGACCUGAGAGGGUGAUCGGCCACACUGGGACUGAGACACGGCCCAGACUCCUACGGGAGGCAGCAGUAGGGAAUCUUCCGCAAUGGACGAAAGUCUGACGGAGCAACGCCGCGUGAGUGAAGAAGGUUUUCGGAUCGUAAAACUCUGUUGUAAGGGAAGAACAAGUACGUUAGUAACUGAACGUACCUUGACGGUACCUUACCAGAAAGCCACGGCUAACUACGUGCCAGCAGCCGCAGUAACAC